rnacentral:rRNA from 1 species
AGAGUUUGAUCCUGGCUCAGGAUGAACGCUAGCUACAGGCUUAACACAUGCAAGUCGGAGGGGAAACGACAUCGAAAGCUUGCUUUUGAUGGGCGUCGACCGGCGCACGGGUGAGUAACGCGUAUCCAACCUGCCCAUCACUUGGGGAUAACCUUGCGAAAGUAAGACUAAUACCCAAUGACGUCUCUAGAAGACAUCUGAAAGAGAUUAAAGAUUUAUCGGUGAUGGAUGGGGAUGCGUCUGAUUAGCUUGUUGGCGGGGUAACGGCCCACCAAGGCGACGAUCGAGUAGGGGUUCUGAGAGGAAGGUCCCCCACAUUGGAACUGAGACACGGUCCAAAAUCCUACGGGAGGCA